rnacentral:lncRNA from 1 species
AACAUUGAUAUCAAUCUAAUGACAUUCCAUAGGAAUAAAAAUCCAAUGGGAUCCAGUUCUUAGCAGUCCCAGCCUAGUCAGAAGUACAAAGUCAAAUACCAUUUGCACAUCACCAAGAGGUACAAUCUGAUGAGUAACAGGAUAUCUGAUCUAAAAGCUUGCCAGGUUUCACAAGCUGUUUGAGUAUCACCAGGGCAGAUCAAGAAGAAAUAUGAAGGCCAGGUUCAUAAAAAGCAGUUUCUUCAUUGCAAUUACAGAUUUAAAAACUUGAAUGAAUUUAAAUAAAUGUGUCAAUACAUAUUGAAUGCUGCUUAAACUACACAUCUGUUGAAAAAAAGAUUAAU